rnacentral:tRNA from 7 species
AGCUGUAUUUAAAGAUAAAUAUCUGUUUUCAUAACAAAUGGUAUGUAGGAAUUUCGGACGCGGGUUCAACUCCCGCCAGCUCCACCA